rnacentral:rRNA from 1 species
AGCGAACGCUGGCGGCAGGCUUAACACAUGCAAGUCGAGCGGGCACUUUCGGGUGUCAGCGGCGGACGGGUGAGUAACGCGUGGGAACGUGCCCUCUGGUUCGGAAUAACUCAGGGAAACUCGAGCUAAUACCGGAUACGCCCUUUUGGGGAAAGGCUUGCUGCCGGAGGAUCGGCCCGCGUCUGAUUAGCUAGUUGGUGAGGUAACGGCUCACCAAGGCGACGAUCAGUAGCUGGUCUGAGAGGAUGAUCAGCCACACUGGGACUGAGACACGGCCCAGACUCCUACGGGAGGCAGCAGUGGGGAAUAUUGGACAAUGGGCGCAAGCCUGAUCCAGCCAUGCCGCGUGAGUGAUCAAGGCCUUAGGGUUGUAAAGCUCUUUUAUCCGGGACGAUAAUGACGGUACCGGAGGAAUAAGCCCCGGCUAACUUCGUG